CCUACGGGGUGCAGCAGUGAGGAAUAUUGGGCAAUGGACGAGAGUCUGAACCAGCCAAGUAGCGUGAAGGAUGACUGCCCUAUGGGUUGUAAAUUCCUUUUAUAUGGGAAUAAAACAGGGUCUGCAUACCCUCUUGUAUGUACCAUAUGAAUAAGGAUCGGCUAAUUCCGUGCCAGAAGCCGCGGUAAUACGGAGGAUCCGAGCGUGUUCCGGAUUUAUUGGGUUUAAAGGGUGCGUAGGCGGAUUUUUAAGUCAGCGGUAAAAUGUCCGGGCUAAACCCGGGACGGCCGUUGAAACUGGGGAUCUUGAGUGGGCGAGAAGUAUGCGGAAUGCGUGGUGUAGCGGUGAAAUGCAUAGAUAUCACGCAGAACUCCGAUUGCGAAGGCAGCAUACCGGCGCCCGACUGACGCUGAGGCACGAAAGCGUGGGGAUCGAACAGGAUUAGAUACCCUAGUAGUC
rnacentral:rRNA from 1 species